GGAAGAUUUUUAGUAGAAAGGUUUUAAUUAAUCAAGUAUACAAUCAAUGUGAAUCUAGCCAUUUUUGUUUUAAGUUAUUAUUCUAUUAAAAGCUAAUAGAAAGUUGCCUACGCCCUGGAAUGUACCAAACUGAUAAGAAACACAGGGUCAGAUAUACAUUGAGGGCCUGCGUAAAGCAAGCAGAAGGCCUCUCCUCUAGGGAUGUAUGAAAUGUGUAGACUAAAGAUAAAGUUGUUGACUAUGUGGAACCGCCCCAUAUAAUGUAUAAAACCAAAAACAAAAUAGCAUACGAGAGAUCUUCUUGCCAGGAGCUCUCGACUUUGUUUUGCGCAAAAUAAAGUCUUUUCUUCUGAGAGAAAAAUCCCUGACUGAGUUCGAUUCUUUGGAGAACCGGCAAAAUACACCACAUAUUUGGCACCCCAGAUGGGACUGGAAAGGAGCAGAGUGGACGACUGCUUUUGAGCUGACUGAUGAGCAACACACACACACAGUGGUGGCCACCAUAGAAUAAGUUUUCCAUUUACAGGUGACAGCAGUUCCAGUAAGACCAAGGAAUGCUUCGCCCCAUCAAAGAGAACCAGUGAGGGUGCAGUAAUCAUCUCAAGAGAGCCUGGCAUUAAUCAGCAAAAUGGUUACAGAGUGACACCUGAGUUCACAUCUCUAACCUUAAAAUAAUCCAACCAGCUUCAACAACUCCACACAGCAUGAAGUGAGGGAUGAAGGGCGUGCUAGUAACGACCCCAGUUGCCAACGAGGGAAAGACCAUUGCAACGACUCGCAAAGAGUCUCCCUGGUGAAGAUGGAAUGAGAGAAUGAUGGGACUGCUACUGAGAUCAAAAUACUUGGGAGCAGAUAUGAGCCAACAAAUAGAAAAGAAAAAGUGGAAAAAGAAUGUAAAGUAAUGGUAGAUGAAGAAUUUGAAGGUUAUGAGAAGGGAAAUAUGGAUGUAGGAAGGAUAGAAGGGAGAAUAGAGCAAUUGGAUGCAACAAAUAGAAUGAAAGGAGCAAAAUAGAAAAGCUCAAGAUUAUUUGUGAAUUGAAGAAGGAAAAGUAUGUGUUAUGUUUGAGGGACAAUGCUGUAUUUAUAUACCAAAUAAUACUGCUCAAGAAGGAGCAUUUAAUGAAGUACUGAUCAAAUUGAAAAGGCUAAGAAGGGUAGAUAAAGAAACUGUUGGAAAAGAUAAUAAAAUGUAAGACUGGUUUGAUUUACAGUUAGGAGCAUGGGGAGCAUAGUUUAUAAUUAAAUAGGGAAAGUUUUUAGGAAUUGCAUUAUUGACAGGAGAUUUACUAUUUUAAUGUAUACUUCCUAUAUUGAAGUCACAAGUCAAAGCCACAGUUAAGCAAAUUAAAUUCAAAGAUGUCAAAAUGAUGGGAAAUAGAUUUUUGAAGGUAACCGAAAAGGCUCUCUAUUAUACAUAAGGUAUCCGAGCCAAAGAUCAACUCUUAUAAUCUUGUGAUAUUCAAUGUGUGAUGUGAUGUAUGUAUUUGUAUGUCUUUUAUACAUAACUGUGAUGACCACCGGCCAGUGCUGAACCAAUUGCACAUUCAUGCUUUUAACAAUGUUUACUGUUAAAAGAGGGGUUAGGGAGACUGGA